CCUACGGGCGGCAGCAGUGGGGAAUAUUGGGCAAUGGGCGCAAGCCUGACCCAGCAACGCCGCGUGAAGGAAGAAGGCUUUCGGGUUGUAAACUUCUUUUCUCAGGGACGAAGCAAGUGACGGUACCUGAGGAAUAAGCCACGGCUAACUACGUGCAAGCGGCCGCGGUAUUACGGAGGUGGCAGGCGUUCUCCGGAUUUACGGGGUGUAAAGGGGUUUUAGGCGGAAAGGCAAGUCAGAUGUGAAACCCAGGGGCUCAACCUGUGGACUGCAUUUGAAACUGUUUUUCUUGAGUACUGGAGAGGCAGACGGAAUUCCUAGUGUAGCGGUGAAAUGCGUAGAUAUUAGGAGGAACACCAGUGGCGAAGGCGGUCUGCUGGACAGCAACUGACGCUGAGGCGCGAAAGCGUGGGGAGCAAACAGGAUUAGAUACCCUUGUAGUC
rnacentral:rRNA from 1 species